rnacentral:lncRNA from 1 species
GAGGUUGUAGGCCAAAAAGAACUUUCCCAGUUUGGCAUGUUAGCAGAAAGUUAGAAUCAAAGCCGCUGUUUGAACUCCGGGGACCAGCGUGCUUUCUGGACACGCGAAAGCUACUGAGAUAAGAACAGACGACUCUGCUCGAUGAGGCAGAGGUGUGAAAUGGCACACGGUGGGUGUUGCAGUCUGAAUCUUUGUCCCACAGCAGCAGUAUCCGGAGGAAGCCGAGGACGAGGUGCACUACGGGCACCACCACGUGGAGGUCAUCCCCGAACACCGGCAAGCUUCCCUGCGGAGUAAGGCGCCGUCUUCCUCCCCGUCUCGCCCCGGGCCCCUGCUCGGGACAGUGCCUCUCCCUUCCCUGGCAGGAAGAGGGGGCCAUCAGAGCUGGGAGGAAGUCGCUGGCCUCCUGGCUCGACCAGGGUGCUGGUGGGCACCGUGCCCUCCUUGGGGCACGAGGCUGCCAAGAGGUGGGAGGAGGAGAAGGAGGUGAGCAGCUGCUGGAAGAGGCUGAGGUUCUGUGUGCUCUCUGGCCCACGGCUGACAGGCAGCCCCCGCCGCAGCAGCCACUCUCUUGGGCUCUCUGGCAGAGGAAGGUCCGUGCCCUCUCUUGCCACCCACUCGAGCUCUUCGGCAGUCGUUCCCCGAAAGCCACGGGGGGAGGGGGGCCUCUGUCCUGUCUUGAUGGCAUCAGCCAUCGGAGGAAGCAGCGAGAUGGGAAGGGGCUGCGGCUUUCCCUCCUCCCAUCAGCUGACUCUUCCCAUUCAGCAUCCCCGCAAGCCUGCGACUGCCCGGAUGCGCUGGACAAAGGGACUCUGAUCGCCAUUGUGGCUGCCUUGGCCUUCCUGGGCUUCUUCUCCAGCUCCAUCCUGCUGGUGGUGGCCAUCUGCAUCUUGCGCCGGGCGAAGAAGCAGAGGAAAAAGGAGAAGGAAGAGAAGCUCCACUCGCCUCACCGGAGGCGUCACCCUCCCGUCCCCCCCCCUCGCCCAGAGCACACUGUGAAGGGUCAGGGCUAUGAGCAGCUCCAUCCGGCCUCCCGGUGA